rnacentral:rRNA from 1 species
AGCGAACGCUGGCGGCAGGCUUAACACAUGCAAGUCGAGCGGGCACUUCGGAAUCAGCGGCUGACGGGUGAGUAACACGUGGGAAGGUAGACUUUGGUACGGAAUAAUGCUGGGACACGAGCGCUAAUACCGGAUACGUCCUUUUGGGGAAAGGCUUGCUGCGGAAGGAUGGGCCGGCGUCUGAUUAGCUAGUCGGGGGGGUAAUGGCCUACCAAGGCGACGAUCAUUAGCUGGUCUGAGAGGAUGAACAGCCACACUGGGACUGAGACACGGUCCAGACUCCUACGGGAGGCAGCAGUGGGGAAUAUUGGACAAUGGGCGCAAGCCUGAUGCAGCCAUGCCGCGUGAGUGAUGAAGGUCUGAGGGUAGUAAAGCUCUUUUGUACGGGACGAUAAUGACGGUACCGGAAGAAUAAGCCCCGGCUAACUUCGUG